AUUGAACGCUGGCGGCAGGCCUAACACAUGCAAGUCGAACGAGUGGCGGACGGGUGAGUAAUGUCUGGGAAACUGCCUGAUGGCGGGGGAUAACUACUGGAAACGGUAGCUAAUACCGCAUACCAUCAGAUGUGCCCAGAUGGGAUUAGCUUGUUGGUGGGGUAACGGCUCACAAGGGAGACGAUCCCUAGCUGGUCUGAGAGGAGGACCAGCCACCCUGGAACGGGGACACGGUCCAGAUUCCUACGGGAGUCAGCAGUGGGGAAUAUUGGAAAAUGGGCGCAAGCCUGCUGCAGCCAGGCCGCGGGGAUGAAGAGGGCCUUCGGGUUGUAAAGUACGUUCAGCGGGGAGGCGUUACCCGCAGAAGAAGCACCGGCUAACUCCGUGCCAGCAGCCGCGGUAAUAC
rnacentral:rRNA from 1 species